rnacentral:lncRNA from 1 species
UUUCCUGUUUCAGAGAGUCAUUCAAGACAGGCAUGUCAUUAUUUGGAUGGAGUUGGGCCACUGUGACUCUGGAAGUGGGACUGUCCCAUGUCCCCCACCCUGAGUAUUGCCAAAUUUGAGAGCUUCCCUUCUUAGUCCAGAGAGCCCUGGAGCUGAGCGGGGCCCUGCCUGCACAGCAGCCCCCAGCGACCCGAUCCUCUGAGGUUGCCUGGGCCCCAACAGGAAGGAGCUAACAUUGUGUCCUUUCUUAACAGCACUUGUCUGCGGGCCUCCAGCUUCGCCUCCAGGCCAUUCAGAACCACGUGAACCACCACAGCCUAAGGACGCUGCCGGGCUCAGGUCAGAGCAGUGCUGGCCUGGUGGCCCUCCGCAAGUGGCUGCAGUGCACCCAGUUCAAAAUGGCCCAGGUGGAGAUCCAGUCCUCCGAAGCAGCCUCUCAAUUUUAUCCUCUAUGAGUGGACUCCUCGGCUCUCAGUGACAACACUCUGGUUUAGCAAUAAUGGGUUUCAAAACAAAACGAUUCGAUCCAAGCAGGUUGGGGACAUAUUGGUACUGUACAUCCUCUUCCUAGUUUAGUAAAAGACGUGCAAAGGCCGGAGAGGGCCACAAUGACGCUUUCUUGCUACACAUAUUUCUGAUGACUCCUUGGGCUAUCUGAUUAAGUGUUUCCUUACAUUAUUUUUUAAAAACCAAAUCAUUUUUCUUUAACUAACUUCUAUUUUUUUUAAGAAAAAAAAAUAGACUGGUGGGUAC